rnacentral:rRNA from 1 species
GUGAUGCCUACCUGCAAGUCGAACGGCAGCACGAGAGAGCUUGCUCUCUUGGUGGCGAGUGGCGGACGGGUGAGUAAUGCGUAGGAACUUGCCCUAAAGUAGGGGAUAACCCGGGGAAACUCGAGCUAAUACCAUAUACGUCCGGUAUCUGCUUUGCAGGUAUCGGGGAAAGCGGGCAGCUUGCUGCUCGCGCUUUAGGAUGGGCCUACGUCGGAUUAGCUUGUUGGUGAGGUAACGGCUCACCAAGGCAACGAUCCGUAGCUGGUCUGAGAGGAUGAUCAGCCACACUGGGACUGAGACACGGCCCAGACUCCUACGGGAGGCAGCAGUGAGGAAUAUUGGACAAUGGGCGAAAGCCUGAUCCAGCAAUGCCGCGUGUGUGAAGAAGGCCUUCGGGUCGUAAAGCACUUUCAGUAGGGAAGAAAAAGCCAAGGUUAAUAUCCUUGGAAAUUGACGGUACCUACAGAAGAAGCACCGGCUAACUCUGUGCCAGCAGCCGCGGUAAUACAGAGGGUGCAAGCGUUAAUCGGAUUUAUUGGGCGUAAAGGGCGUGUAGGCGGAUAUUUAGGUCGGAUGUGAAAUCCCUGGGCUUAACCUAGGAAUUGCAUUCGAUACUGGAUGUCUAGAGUGUGGUAGAGGGAAGUGGAAUUUCCGGUGUAGCGGUGAAAUGCGUAGAUAUCGGAAGGAACACCAGUGGCGAAGGCGACUUCCUGGACCAACACUGACGCUAAGCGCGAAAGCGUGGGGAGCAACAGAUUAGAUACCCUGGUAGUCCACGCUGUAACGAUGAGACUGGCGUUGGGGAUCUGAAUCUUCGUGCGAGCUACGCGUAGUCUCGCUGGGGAGUACGCCGCAAGCUAAAACUCAAAGGAAAUUGA